rnacentral:misc_RNA from 1 species
AAGAAAAUGGCUUCAGCAUGCAUCAACCACCUUGCAGCCCAACCCUUGUGGAUUCUUCUAGUCUCAUCUCUUGGCUUUCUCUCCUUCCUCAAUCUCUCCCUCUCUUUUCUCAACUGGGUCUAUGCAACAUUUCUCAGACCACCAAAGAAUCUGAGAGAAAAAUAUGGCUCAUGGGCACUCAUCACAGGAGCCACAGACGGUAUAGGCAAAGCCUUUGCUUAUCAACUAGCUCAAAAAGGUCUAAACCUAAUACUAGUGAGCAGAAACCCCAGCAAGCUCAAAAAUGUCUCAAAUGAAAUCCAAGUAGAGUCUCCAGAUACCAAGAUCAAGACUGUGGUGUUUGAUUUUUCCAGGGAAAUGCAAAGUGGGAUCCAACUUAUAGAAGAGGCCAUUAAAGGGGUUGAUGUGGGUGUUUUGAUAAACAAUGUGGGUAUCACAUAUCCUCAAGCUGGAUUCUUUCAUGAGGUGGAUGAGCAAGUUUGGAUGGAUAUAGUUAGAGUGAAUUUGGAGGGCACUAGUAGGGUUACAAAAGCAGUUUUGCCAAGGAUGCUUGGAAGGAAAAGAGGUGCUAUUGUUAACAUUGGUUCAGGAGCUGCCAUUGUUGUGCCUUCACAUCCUCUCUUCACCAUCUAUGCUGCUACAAAAGCGUAGGAAAGAAUGAAUCCUAACCCUAGCUCUUUUAAAAAUUUGCUAUAUCCUAUGCUUACUCCUUAGAUUUGAUGGGCCAACAGAUUAUCACAAAUUUAAAUGUUAAUUAAAAUCAUAUAAAUAAAAAAGAGAAAUUAUAUUAAUUAUUUAUUGUAUUCAUAUAUUUAAUUUGUGAGUAAAUGUGUUUAGGGUUUAGGAGUGGGAAAAGUGUUUAGAAAUGUAGAUGGAUGGAUGUGUAAAGGCCAAAUGGUACAAAAACACUCACCACGCAUGCAAUUGUCAGAUUUUCUCAAUGAAUACUAUCCUCUUUCAGAGUCAAAUCUCAUCUUCUAUUGCUAUUCUCAAGAAUAUAUGUAAUCUCUGAAAAUUUGCAGGCUCGUAUUUAUUGAGAACUUACUAGGGUGAAUAUUGUAAUGCAGUUAUAUUGAUCAAUUGUCAAGAAGCUUGUAUGUGGAAUACAAGAGCUGCGGGAUUGAUGUGCAGUGUCAGGUGCCACUGUAUGUUGCAACGAAAAUGACAUCAAAGGUGGCAUCGAUAGAGAGAUCAUCACUGUUUAUACCAUCGGCAGAAGGCUAUGCAAAAGCAGCUAUCCAUAAAAUAGGGUUUGAAGGACGGUGCACACCCUACUGGCCUCACUCCAUUCAAUGGUUCUUCUGCCACCUCCUUCCUCACUCUCUUCUUGAUUCUUGGCGUCUCUCCAUUGGCAUCCGCCGCCGGGGGAACAUUAUUACUUGAUUAUGUCUAUAUAUAAUCUAUAUAUUAUUAGAUAAAAUUAUUAAUAAUAAUUACAAUCUUUAGCUUGUACUGUAGGACUUGUUGGCUGCUAUUUUUAAACUAUACGCAUUAAUACAUAUAAG